CAGCAGCCACGGUAAUACAGAGGGUGCAAGCGUUAAUCGGAAUUACUGGGCGUAAAGCGCGCGUAGGUGGUUUGUUAAGUUGGAUGUGAAAGCCCCGGGCUCAACCUGGGAACUGCAUCCAAAACUGGCAAGCUAGAGUACGGUAGAGGGUGGUGGAAUUUCCUGUGUAGCGGUGAAAUGCGUAGAUAUAGGAAGGAACACCAGUGGCGAAGGCGACCACCUGGACUGAUACUGACACUGAGGUGCGAAAGCGUGGGGAGCAAACAGGAUUAGAUACCCCGGUAGUCCCUGUCUCUUAUAC
rnacentral:rRNA from 1 species